AAACCCUUACCGAAAGCAAUUGGAGGGCAAGUCUGGUGCCAGCAGCCGCGGUAAUUCCAGCUCCAAUAGCGUAUAUUAAAGUUGUUGCAGUUAAAAAGCUCGUAGUUGAAGUUCUGGCUGCUUGACCCUCGAGCUCUGUAGCCGAGGGCUCAGCAGUCAUCCGCUUGCAAAUAUAUGUUCGCCUUUAACCGGGCGGCUAUAUGAGUAAGCAUUUUACCUUGAGAAAAACAGAGUGUUCCAGGCAGGUUUGUCCGGAAUGCAUUAGCAUGGAAUAAUAGAAUAUGACUGAAGUCGAUUUAUUGGUUUGAGGCUUUAGUAAUGAUUAAUAGGAACAGUCGGGGGCAUUGGUACUUGUCAGUCAGAGGUGAAAUUCUAGGAUUUGACAAAGACUAACAAAUGCGAAAGCAUUUGCCAAGGAUGUUUUCAUUAAUCAAGAACGAAAGUUAGGGGAUCAAAGACGAUCAGAUACCGUCCUAGUCUUAACUAUAAACUAUACCGACUCGGAUUCAGAUGAAUCAUAAAGUUCAUUUGGGACCGUAGGAGAAAUCAAAGUUUUUGGGUUCUGGGGGAAGUAUGGUCGCAAGGCUGAAACUUAAAGGAAUUGACGGUUUUGCACCACCAUGGAGUGGAGUCUGCGGCUUAAUUUGACCCAACACUGGGAAACUCAUCAGGGCAAGAAGAUUGUAGGAUUGACAGAUUGAGAGUUCUUUCUUGAUUGGUCUAGUGGUGGUGCAUGGCCGUUCUUAGUUGGUGGAGUGAUUUGUCUGGUUAAUUCCGUUAACGAACGAGACCUUAACCUGCUAACUAGUACACCGAUGACAAAUCGGUGAUACUUCUUAGAGGGACUAUGUGAUGUAAUCACAUGGAAGUUUGAGGCAAUAACAGGUCUGUGAUGCCCUUAGAUGUCCUGAGCUGCACGCGUACUACAAUGGUGCUUUCAUCGAGCUUUUCCUGAUCCGAAAGGAUUUGGGUAAUCUUUUUAGUGAGCACCGUGCUUGGGAUAGAUCUUUGUAAUUAUGGAUCUUGAACUAGGAAUUCCUAGUAAGCACGUGUCAUCAGCACGUGCUGAUUACGUCCCUGCAAAAUGUACACACCGCCCGUCGCUAUUACCGAUUGAGUGUAAAGGUGAACCUUCUCGAUAGGCGCAAGCUUAGAAAUUAAGUAAACCUUUGCACUUAGAGGAAAUAAAAGUCGUAACAAGGUUUCCGUAGGUGAACCUGCG
rnacentral:rRNA from 1 species